ACCUGCUCCCCUUGGGACCAAGACCAGAGGAAUUUAAUAUACUGCCUUUCCCUUCAACCAAUAACCCAAGCUGCCCAAGAAUGGGAGGCCUCUGCUGUCCUGGGAGGGCUCCAUCCUGCAGAUAUGAAUGAGGGGCUGUCAGCUCAGUCUCCAGAAACCAAGCAUCUCACUCCUACUGUAACAGGGAAACCCACCCUGUGCAGGCCGGCUUUGGAAAAGGAACUCAGAUAGAAAUACCCAUGGGAUGUUAGUUUGCUAGCUGGGUAUUGUUGAAGGAUGUGUCAAGGAUGGUGUCAAUCUCAGGAACCUAGAGAAGGCUACCUGAGAGGACUCCUGGGAGAAUUGGCUACACAGCCAUGUGCAGAGCCAGCUCCAGGGAUCAUAGGGUUCUGUGUCAGAGGCCGCCCAAGCCAGUCUGCAUUCUCUCCUGACAUGAGGCCCUUCAUGACUGAAGACACAGCCUUCCACCCCAAGGCUCAUUGUUUUUUCACACUUCCUGCCUCCUGUGCCCCACUGAUUGCUGCCUGGUCUCCUACUCCACUUUCGGUCGUCCACUCCGGCAGCUCUGGAGUGUGAGUUUGUCCUCCCACAUGGCCUGGUGACCUCUCUCCCACUUCUUCCCUUAUUACCUCUGGCCUCCCCCAGCUCCCAGACUUUCUGGAAGCUCUAGUCCUAACUCUGUGGGCAGAAACAUCAUUUAUUCUCCAGAGACUGGGGAAGAGAACGCAUAUGGCUUACACAGCAUCUGGCCAGUGGCAUUGCCUGGGAAGUCCUCCCUGCCUACCCUUGGCGGUCUGUACCUCUCUUUCCUCAAUCUCCAGGCUUCUACUGCUGAAGCUUGGAGAGUUUGCGGGACUGGGCUUCUGGAGCUAGGCAGAGGCUGGAAGCCUAACCCUGGAAGGACAAGCAAGAAACUGGGCUUUCCUGCUGGGGAGAAAGCACAGGCUGGGGCAUCUCAAGGAGGGAAGAGACAGCCAUGACCCAAGUCACCGCAUCAGUGCCACGCCCACUUUAUGUCACUGUCCCAGGCCCUGGUGAGCUGUCGAUCCACCCGGAGUACCUAGAUAAAGGCCUCUAACUGGUUGAAGUGCAUGUGUGAGUUUCCUGACUGUCACAGUGGCCCCGUAAAGAGGGGAACUGCCAUCUUCCCCUUUUACAGGAGCCUCAGCUCCUUCUGCUUAGGGGAAAGAGAUGCAGAGAACCUCCUGAUUUCCUCCAUGACCAUCUUGUCCAUUUUUCCCCAGGUCUUAGGUCACUAGGAUAUGUGUACAGGCAGAAUUGUGAUAUCCCUGGACACAUUGGCAUCAUAGUCCUCCCUACCUCAGAUGAUACUGUUUGCUCUGAAACCGGCUAUCCCUGAUCAGCUGCACCAGCCUCUCCAGCCAUCAUCACCAGAGAUGAUGAAUUUUACCUUGUUGAGUGCUGGGUGUUUUGUUUUGCUAGCUGCCUAUUUGCGGGCUCCGUUCUGGGACACAGCUAAGCUCCUUAGAAGCACUCAGCUCUACUGAAGCUCUGUCUUAAGAAUUUCAUACUUGAGACAGGAGCGGUCUGGUUCAUCUUUCCCUUCCACGGAUUCAGAGUUCUGUCUCCACACAGUGCUCUUCUCUGGUGCUGUGGGCUGAGGAUUCCAGAUACCUUGGUCUCCUGAAAUGUCAGCUUUGUCAGCCGACCUCCAGGCCUUGCUGGGCUUGGAGAGCAGUGUUCUUCCCAGUCCCAUGGACUGGAAAUUUUGGGCUGCAUGCCAGGGCAGCUGUGGGUGCACUUCAUUUGUUCCCCAUCUCUCUUCACUGCCUGAUGUCCCAUCUUUGUAAAGUGCUAUAUUAUAUACCAUCAGCCUCCAUCCUCACGAGUCCCUCAUCCAAGAAUAAGAAAAGCUGUGGGAGACUCUGGAGGCUAGCCCAGCUACAGAUCUGGAGGCUAGCCCAGCUACAGACCUGUCACUGCAUUCCUUGAAGUUUCGGAUCUGAAAACAUCUAGACCUAGCUCCAGAUACAUGGAAUUCCCUUCCUCCCUCGCCAGGUCCUCCUUCCCUGUGCACCCCAAGAUCUCAGUGCCUGUGGAGGACCCUGGAAGCAAGAUCUUGCAGGUAUCCAGGGGAAAGACUAUUAGAGUGUGGUGGUAACUGAGACAGGGUCUAGAAUCAGCUGAGAGACAGGCCUCUGGCACACCUUGAUUAUAUUAAUUGAUCUGGGAAGAUACAUCUUAACCAUGGGCGGGAUCCUGGACUGUAUAAAUGGAGAAAGUUAGUAGGCAGCCACAUGCACUCAUUCCCCUGGUGCCUGAUUGUGGAUGCGAUGUCACCAGCUGCUUGGACCUUUGCUGCCUUGAUUUCCCCCAUGGUGACAGAUUGUCCCUUGGAGCUGUGCAUUAGUUACUGUCUAUCGCUGUGAUGCAACAUCAUUUUCAAGGCUUAUGAUUCCAGAGAGAUGAGUCGAUGAUGAUGACAGGAGCAGAGAUGUGGCAGCUGGAGCUGGAAGCAGGGCCUCACAUCCAAACCAAGAGCAGGAAGCAGAGAACACAAGCUGGGGGUGGGCGGGCCAUAAACUCUUGGGCCUGCCCCUAAUCACUUACUGCUUCCAACAAGGCCACACCUCCUAAGCUUCCCCAAACUCUGUGGAAGACAUCUUAUUCAAACCAGUACUAACAGGUAGGCUACAAUAAGCCCUUUCUCGCUUGGUUGCUUUUGUCCUAGUAUCCUGUCACUGACAUAGUUAAAGAAAUCAAGACACUGCCAUUCCCUCUCAUCGCUGAAAGAAAAGCUCUACCGCUGGCAUUCGGGAGCACCAAGCUACAUCAGUUACCUCACUGUUUAAGUGGGAAAACUGAGGCUCUGAGGUAUAGAAAUUUUCACCAUGUCCUACGGCAAGUUGGGACGUCUAGAACCUGCUUCACCCCCUCUGUGGGAUUCCCCACCCAAGAGAUCACAUGAGAAUAGUUCCCAGAAGGCAGUUUUAGGCAUGGAACCCCCCUUGCCAUACAGUGCAGUGGAGUUAGGGGUGUGACAGGUACUUUUCCCCACUCUGUCCCCAACCCUUCCUCAGUACAGCUCUGUGGGAAGCUGAGGGUCACCUAACACCUCCAGCUACAGAAGUACUUCAAGAAGCUUACCAGUGCACGCAGAGUUGAGCAUAUGUGUAAUCAUGGAGAUUUUCUUCAUUCGUGCAGUUUUGAGCAUCCCAGCUUGUCAUACAGGACCAUGGCUGACCUCUGAGAGGCUUCAUCCAGCAGAUGACUCAGACAGAUGCAGACACCCACAGCCAAGCAGUGGAUGGAGCUUGGGGACUCUUAUGGAAGAAUCAGAGGAAGGAUUGUGGGCUCCAAAGGAGGAUCCCAUCCCAGGGAAAUCUAACCAACCAUCCCUCCCCGAUGCAGAUAAAGCAACAAGAAGCCGUGGGACACAUGCAUCAUCACCCCCAAAGGGAAAAUAAAUCUUCCUAGCUGUGACCAGUGGAUAUCUCCUGCCCCUGACAUGGUAGAGCUCAUUGGCAGGGGAACAGGAACAGGUGAGCCCUGGAAGAUGGUACACUGUGUGGUAAGGGCUGUUCUUGGCGACCUGCUGAGCCAGGACUGAACAGAAGAAGCAGGAGUAUAAAGGCCUGAAGCAUGGAGGUCUGCUGGUACUGGAGCCCCGGGUUCUCACCUCCUAGUAAGGAGUAUCUGGGACAGAGAUAGCCACCAGCUGCCCAUCCCAGGCCCUCACAGUAGACUCACCUAUCUGGGUGCUGGGAGGUGAGGCGUCCCACCCUCUGCCUGAUGUGUACUUUCCUGAUGCAGACCUGAGCCACUGGGCAUCCCCUCCUCUCGUCUCCCCUUGCCUGGCCUUACCUGCAACCUCCUCCAUGCCUGUUGAUGGUCUUUUAGGGAACUCCACGAACCAGCCUUAUGUCCUUGUGUUUGGAAGCACACAGUGUGACCAUUAAGACCCUCUUAUAAGAGGCCAGGGUGAGGACACCUUCCAGAUCUCUGUAUGAACAGCACCUCCACCAGGAACAGGCAGAGGGUUUCCUACACUGUCCCUGAUAGACUGGCACUUAGGUCUAGAGACAGAGGCAGAAUUUUGCUUUGGUGAGCCCUCUCUCCAUCUGUCCUGGGGUUUCUAUUGCUGCAAUGAAACACCAUGACCAAAAAGCAAGUUGGGGAGGAAAGGUUUAUUUGGCUUACACUUCCAUAUUGCUAUUCAUCAUCAAAGGAUGUCAGGGCAUAAAAAUGGUCCUGAUAGGCUCAUAGAGUGGCACUAUUAGUAGGCAUAGCCUAGUUGGAGUGGGUGUGGCCUUAUUGGAGAAAAUGUGUCACUAGAGGUGGGCUUUGGGGUUUCAGAUGCUCAAGCCAGGCCCAGUGUCAUGUUCUCUUCCUGUUGCCUGCUGUUCUAGCACCAUGUCUGCAUGUCAGCAUGCUUCCCGACAUGAUGAUAAUGGACUGAAUCUCUGAACCUGUAAGCCGGCCCCAAUUAAAUGUUGUCCUUU
ensembl:lincRNA Gm831 predicted gene 831